GACGGAAGUGGCAAGCGUUGCUCGGAAUCACUGGGCGUAAAGGGUGCGUAGGCGGCCUGGUAAGUCUGGCGUGAAAGCCCAGGGCUUCAGCCCUGGAAGGGCCGACUAGAAACUGCGAGGCUCGGAGUGCCGGAGGGGAGAGUGGAAUUCCUGGUGUAGCGGUGAAAUGCGCAGAUAUCAGGAGGAACACCAGCGGCGAAGGCGGCGCUCUGGGCCGGUACUGACGCUGAGGAGCGAAAGCGUGGGGAGCGAACAGG
rnacentral:rRNA from 1 species